rnacentral:lncRNA from 1 species
GACUACUAAAAAGUAAAUAGAAAUACUGAAAAGAUGACUAUGUCCUUAAACUAUGAUGACUCACCACUGAAUCUGCUGCUGAUAAUCUAGGCUGCUAAGUACGGCCAGUAGCUCGUGCGUCUGAACCUAUGAUAUAAGACAUUAUAGCACAGAGAAAGGUAUGCGUCAGUACUUUGAAUGUACUGGUAAGCUAAGUGAGGUAAGGCUGAAUGCAGGGGUUCAUAUACAUGAACAAUAAACUGGCUAAGUAAUAUGAAUACAUGAAACUAUUGCAAAUACUGAUUAUGCAAUACUAUGCACAUAACUACGUAUACUGUAACUGAGAUCAUAUUAACAUUGGGUACUGAGUUAUGAUAACUAAAUGAUUGAUAUCUGAGUUUAAUGAUAACUGUAUUACUGUCAACUGGGUUAUUAUUUCUGACAGUCCUGAUUCUGUAGAGCUGAACUGAGUUUUAUACUGAGCUGGAUGACUGUGCCUAACAGUCCUGAUUCUGUAGAACUGAACAGAGUUCUAUAUGAGCUGGAUGACUGUGUCUAACAGUUCUAGUUCUGUAGAAUUGAACUGAGUUCUAUACUAAGACUAAAAUUGAAAUCGUGGGAGGUAAUUAUCUAACCAACAUGCCCCUCCUAAAACUAAUUAGGGUCCAACCUAUAACCCCAGUUGGAAAGGUGUCAGUACCAUGCCACGGGUAAAGACAGUUGUUGAGUCACCCUCAUCUGGAAGGUGCUCUGAAUGAGAAUGGUGGUAACCUCAACUGGCAGGUAAGACACCUCAUCAACCCUCAACUGGAAGGUUGAUGUCUCAACCUAUGUUGGCUAUAUAGUUCUGAAAUGCAAGGAUUGCUUCUAAGGAUCACAUCCUCUACUGGCAGGUAAGUCCCCAUCCUUGGGUUCACUCGGUGCUGAAUCCUACUCCUAACUGAAUUGACACUGGAUUGAUUUCUAAACUGUACUAGGCUUGACUGAACUUUUACUGAUCAUGUUAACUGGCUGAACUGGACUGAGUUCACUGAGUUCUGAUAUCUGACUAAAUACUACUGAUCGCGAUAUUUCUGACACCAUUCUAUAGCUACUGUAGCUCUAGGUCAACAACUAGAUUUUCGAGUAUUGAAUGCCCCCAGGGUCGAUAGCAUGGAAAGUAAAACAUAGCAUAACCUUAAGAACAUAAUAAUACUAGCUUACUAACAAUGCAUUUAUUUAGACAUUUUGUCAAACACUUGAUAUAUAGGAGCUUGUACAUGAAUGAGAUCACAUAUUAACAUGUCAUGCUUUCACUAGUCAAUCCACAUAAGCAUUUUAUCAAACACUUGGGGAGCAUGGUUAUUUCACAUAAUACUAGUCAACUCAUGAACAUCAUGAAUACAAUAAUUAAUUGUAAAUUCAAGGGUUUAGCAUGCAAUUCAUAUAAUUCCCCAUACAAACUAUUUUAAUAUCAUGAGACUUGUAAUUAAAUCAUGAAUUGAAACCCAAUUAAUACCAUGAACAUGAAUACAAUCAACUUCAACCAUGAAAAUCAUAAAUCUAUAAACUUGUAUGUUUAAAUAGGGUUCUACGACUCCAUGGUUGAAAGAAACCCAUGAAUGAACAUCUAACGUACCUUGAUUGAUAAUUUCAUAGAGAUUGAAGUGAGUUCUUGAGACUUGAUUCUUGAACUUGAUGAAGCUAGGGCUUUUCCUUAAGAGGAUUUUGUGAAAAGGAUCAGCAAUUAUGCUAUUUGGGGCUUUAAUCCCGUGUUAUGGAGCUAUUGGGUGAAGAAAAAAAUGACCCAUUAGCCCUUAAAAAUCCGGAACAAAACUGCAAAAUUUACCCGGGCUGGACUGGCC